rnacentral:rRNA from 1 species
UACGUAGGGAGCAAGCGUUAUCCGGAAUUACUGGGUGUAAAGGGAGCGUAGACGGUAAUGUAAGUCUGGAGUGAAAGGCGGGGGCCCAACCCCCGGACUGCUCUGGAAACUAUGUUACUAGAGUGCAGGAGAGGUAAGCGGAAUUCCUAGUGUAGCGGUGAAAUGCGUAGAUAUUAGGAGGAACACCAGUGGCGAAGGCGGCUUACUGGACUGUAACUGACGUUGAGGCUCGAAAGCGUGGGGAGCAAACAGG